rnacentral:tRNA from 1 species
GAGGGUAUAGUGCAAGUGGUAAAGCAUAUGCUUAGCAUGCAUUGAUGGCCUGGGUUCAAUCCCCAGUACCUCCU